GCCCCUGUAGCUCAGGUGGAUAGAGCAGCGGUUUCCUAAACCGCGUGCCCGGGUUCGAGUCCCGGCAGGGGUGCCA
rnacentral:tRNA from 1 species